GGGUGUAUAGCUCAGAGGUAGAGCACAUGCUUAGUAUGCAUGAGAUGCUGGGUUCAAUCCCCAGUACCUCCA
rnacentral:tRNA from 1 species